rnacentral:rRNA from 1 species
AGAGUUUGAUCCUGGCUCAGGAUGAACGCUGGCGGCGUGCCUAACACAUGCAAGUCGAACGGAGUUCUUAAGGAAUGCGACUUCGGUCAAUGACUUUUGAACUUAGUGGCGGACGGGUGAGUAACGCGUGAGCAACCUGCCUUUCAGAGGGGGAUAACAUUUGGAAACAGAUGCUAAUACCGCAUAAGAUUACAGUACCGCAUGAUACAGUGAUCAAAGGAGCAAUCCGCUGAAAGAUGGGCUCGCGUCCGAUUAGAUAGUUGGUGAGGUAACGGCUCACCAAGUCGACGAUCGGUAGCCGGACUGAGAGGUUGAACGGCCACAUUGGGACUGAGACACGGCCCAGACUCCUACGGGAGGCAGCAGUGGGGAAUAUUGCACAAUGGGCGAAAGCCUGAUGCAGCAACGCCGCGUGAGGGAAGACGGUUUUCGGAUUGUAAACCUCUGUUUUCGGUGACGAACAAAUGACGGUAACCGAGUAGGAAGCCACGGCUAACUACGUGCCAGCAGCCGCGGUAAUACGUAGGUGGCAAGCGUUAUCCGGAAUUACUGGGUGUAAAGGGAGCGCAGGCGGGAUAGCAAGUCAGCUGUGAAAACUAUGGGCUCAACCCAUAAACUGCAGUUGAAACUGUUAUUCUUGAGUGGAGUAGAGGCAAGCGGAAUUCCGAGUGUAGCGGUGAAAUGCGUAGAUAUUCGGAGGAACACCAGUGGCGAAGGCGGCUUGCUGGGCUCUAACUGACGCUGAGGCUCGAAAGUGUGGGGAGCAAACAGGAUUAGAUACCCUGGUAGUCCACACUGUAAACGAUGAUUGCUAGGUGUGGGGGGUCUGACCCCCUCCGUGCCGGAGUUAACGCAAUAAGCAAUCCACCUGGGGAGUACGGCCGCAAGGUUGAAACUCAAAUGAAUUGACGG